AUUAAGUUGUUGGGGAGUUCCCCCACCUCUAUGCACAGAGUGGGAAAUUCUCCCAGGAAUGGUUCACCAGAAGCGGUACUGUGUGUCUGUGGCCAGCACUGGGGGGUCUGGGGAGGUAGAGCAGGCAAGGUCCUCUGACAGCAGUACUGUGUGGGGAGGUAGAGCAGGCAAGGUCCUCUGACAGCAGUACUGUGUGGGGAGGUAGAGCAGGCAAGGUCCUCUGACAGCAGUACUGUGUGGGGAGGUAGAGCAGGCAAGGUCCUCUGACAGCAGUACUGUGUGGGGAGGUAGAGCAGGCAAGGUCCUCUGACAGCAGUACUGUGUGGGGAGGUAGAGCAGGCAAGGUCCUCUGACAGCAGUACUGUGUGGGGAGGUAGAGCAGGCAAGGUCCUCUGACAGCGGUACUGUGUGGGGAGGUAGAGCAGGCAAGGUCCUCUGACAGCGGUACUGUGUGGGGAGGUAGAGCAGGCAAGGUCCUCUGACAGCACCAGGAGACCCAACUGCUACAUUCCAAAUGUCAACACUUGUAUACUACGUAGACUCAGAACCACUUUAAAUCCAGUCUCUGUCAUGUGAAGGUGUUCUCUACUUAGUUUUAGGCAGCGGUCUUUGUACUGUUUGACAGGUAGUUAAAGAGAUUGUACACCCCCAAAAUAAAAGGCGGGUUCCUCAGUGCUGUCAGACUGACCCCCUGACCCCUUCACCCUCACCCAGGGUGGGCUUGUGACUGACUGGCACACCAAGUCUGACUGUUUGUCUCGUCCUCUUCCCCUGGUCUCUUUCCUCUCGUUGUGU